GGGACACGUGGUAUCCUGUCUGAAUAUGGGGGGACCAUCCUCCAAGGCUAAAUACUCCUGACUGACCGAUAGUGAACCAGUACCGUGAGGGAAAGGCGAAAAGAACCCCGGCGAGGGGAGUGAAAAAGAACCUGAAACCGUGUACGUACAAGCAGUGGGAGCACGCUUAGGCGUGUGACUGCGUACCUUUUGUAUAAUGGGUCAGCGACUUAUAUUCUGUAGCAAGGUUAACCGAAUAGGGGAGCCGAAGGGAAACCGAGUCUUAACUGGGCGUUAAGUUGCAGGGUAUAGACCCGAAACCCGGUGAUCUAGCCAUGGGCAGGUUGAAGGUUGGGUAACACUAACUGGAGGACCGAACCGACUAAUGUUGAAAAAUUAGCGGAUGACUUGUGGCUGGGGGUGAAAGGCCAAUCAAACCGGGAGAUAGCUGGUUCUCCCCGAAAGCUAUUUAGGUAGCGCCUCGUGAAUUCAUCUCCGGGGGUAGAGCACUGUUUCGGCAAGGGGGUCAUCCCGACUUACCAACCCGAUGCAAACUGCGAAUACCGGAGAAUGUUAUCACGGGAGACACACGGCGGGUGCUAACGUCCGUCGUGAAGAGGGAAACAACCCAGACCGCCAGCUAAGGUCCCAAAGUCAUGGUUAAGUGGGAAACGAUGUGGGAAGGCCCAGACAGCCAGGAUGUUGGCUUAGAAGCAGCCAUCAUUUAAAGAAAGCGUAAUAGCUCACUGGUCGAGUCGGCCUGCGCGGAAGAUGUAACGGGGCUAAACCAUGCACCGAAGCUGCGGCAGCGACGCUUAUGCGUUGUUGGGUAGGGGAGCGUUCUGUAAGCCUGCGAAGGUGUGCUGUGAGGCAUGCUGGAGGUAUCAGAAGUGCGAAUGCUGACAUAAGUAACGAUAAAGCGGGUGAAAAGCCCGCUCGCCGGAAGACCAAGGGUUCCUGUCCAACGUUAAUCGGGGCAGGGU
rnacentral:rRNA from 1 species